CCUACGGGAGGCAGCAGUGGGGAAUAUUGGACAAUGGGCGAAAGCCUGAUCCAGCCAUGCCGCGUGUGUGAAGAAGGCCUUCGGGUUGUAAAGCACUUUCAGUGGGGAAGAAAGCCUUGGGGCUAAUACCCUCGAGGAAGGACAUCACCCACAGAAGAAGCACCGGCUAACUCCGUGCCAGCAGCCGCGGUAAUACGGAGGGUGCGAGCGUUAAUCGGAAUUACUGGGCGUAAAGCGCGCGUAGGCGGUCUGAUAAGCCGGUUGUGAAAGCCCCGGGCUCAACCUGGGAACGGCAUCCGGAACUGUCAGGCUAGAGUGCAGGAGAGGAAGGUAGAAUUCCCGGUGUAGCGGUGAAAUGCGUAGAGAUCGGGAGGAAUACCAGUGGCGAAGGCGGCCUUCUGGACUGACACUGACGCUGAGGUGCGAAAGCGUGGGUAGCAAACAGGAUUACAUACCCGGGUAGUC
rnacentral:rRNA from 1 species